rnacentral:rRNA from 1 species
UACGGAGGGUGCGAGCGUUAAUCGGAAUUACUGGGCGUAAAGGGCGCGUAGGCGGUGAAGUCAGUCGGGUGUGAAAGCCCCGGGCUCAACCUGGGAACUGCCUUUGAUACUGGAUAUCUGGAGUUCGGGAGAGGUGAGUGGAAUUCCGAGUGUAGAGGUGAAAUUCGUAGAUAUUCGGAGGAACACCAGAAGCGAAGGCGGCUCACUGGCCCGAGACUGACGCUGAGGCGCG